rnacentral:lncRNA from 1 species
CAUUGGUUUAUCGUAAACCCUCUUACGAGCCAAUCAUAAUUCCAAGAUGGUCACCAGACUCCAUCUCUAUAAAAAGUCAGUAUUCUGUUUUUAUUUUAAAAGAGCUAUUACUUACGUUACUAGCCAGGAAGACCUGAAGUUAGAGAUUGAUUAUAUUUAUAAUGUCGGAAGAUUGUAUGAUUAUAGUAGAAUCUUCCUAGAUGCGCUGUAUUCUAAAGUACAACGAGUAACCCCCCGCAGGUUCCUGAAAAGCUAGAGCAAGCAGAGUAUGAGCCAAUACCGUGUGCCAUGUCCAACUAUAAGACAGUUAAGAAGCUUAUUAAGAAAGGAAGUAAGAAGAUAAGUUAUAAAAGACAUCCCACCGUAUAUAAUCUACUUAGAAAUGAAAAAGAUAAAAGGAAGGAUGAAAAAAAAAUGUCUGGAGUGUGUGGGAUUUCGACAAUGAAUUGCGCAGGAAGCGGGGAAGAGGCUUGUAUAGGAGUUGCAGCGAGACCAUUAGAGCUGGG